ACUCAAAUGAAUUGACGGGGGCCCGCACAAGCGGCGGAGCAUGUUGCUUAAUUCGACGCAACGCGAAGAACCUUACCAAGGUUUGACAUACACCGGAAACACUCAGAGAUGGGUGCCUCCUUUGGAUCGGUGUACAGGUGGUGCAUGGCUGUCGUCAGCUCGUGUCGUGAGAUGUUGGGUUAAGUCCCGCAACGAGCGCAACCCUUGUUCCAUGUUGCCAGCAUGCCCUUCGGGGUGGUGGGGACUCAUGGGAGACUGCCGGGGUCAACUCGGAGGAAGGUGGGGAUGACGUCAAGUCAUCAUGCCCCUUAUGUCUUGGGCUGCAAACAUGCUACAAUGGUCGGUACAGAGGGUUGCGAUGCCGUGAGGUGGAGCGAAUCCCAAAAAGCCGGUCUCAGUUCGGAUUGGGGUCUGCAACUCGACCCCAUGAAGUCGGAGUCGCUAGUAAUCGCAGAUCAGCAACGCUGCGGUGAAUACGUUCCCGGGCCUUGCACACACCGCCCGU
rnacentral:rRNA from 1 species